rnacentral:rRNA from 2 species
ACGAACUCUGGUAUUGAUUGGUGCUUGCAUCAUGAUUUACAUUUGAGUGAGUGGCGAACUGGUGAGUAACACGUGGGAAACCUGCCCAGAAGCGGGGGAUAACACCUGGAAACAGAUGCUAAUACCGCAUAACAACUUGGACCGCAUGGUCCGAGCUUGAAAGAUGGCUUCGGCUAUCACUUUUGGAUGGUCCCGCGGCGUAUUAGCUAGAUGGUGGGGUAACGGCUCACCAUGGCAAUGAUACGUAGCCGACCUGAGAGGGUAAUCGGCCACAUUGGGACUGAGACACGGCCCAAACUCCUACGGGAGGCAGCAGUAGGGAAUCUUCCACAAUGGACGAAAGUCUGAUGGAGCAACGCCGCGUGAGUGAAGAAGGGUUUCGGCUCGUAAAACUCUGUUGUUAAAGAAGAACAUAUCUGAGAGUAACUGUUCAGGUAUUGACGGUAUUUAACCAGAAAGCCACGGCUAACUACGUGCCAGCAGCCGCGGUAAUACGUAGGUGGCAAGCGUUGUCCGGAUUUAUUGGGCGUAAAGCGAGCGCAGGCGGUUUUUUAAGUCUGAUGUGAAAGCCUUCGGCUCAACCGAAGAAGUGCAUCGGAAACUGGGAAACUUGAGUGCAGAAGAGGACAGUGGAACUCCAUGUGUAGCGGUGAAAUGCGUAGAUAUAUGGAAGAACACCAGUGGCGAAGGCGGCUGUCUGGUCUGUAACUGACGCUGAGGCUCGAAAGUAUGGGUAGCAAACAGGAUUAGAUACCCUGGUAGUCCAUACCGUAAACGAUGAAUGCUAAGUGUUGGAGGGUUUCCGCCCUUCAGUGCUGCAGCUAACGCAUUAAGC